rnacentral:rRNA from 1 species
ACACGACUACAUUAGAUACCCCGGUAGUCCUAGCCGUAAACGAUACUCGCUAGGUGUCGGCCACGGUGCGACCGUUGUCGGUGCCGUAGGGAAGCCGUGAAGCGAGCCACCUGGGAAGUACGGCCGCAAGGCUGAAACUUAAAGGGAUUGGCGGGGGAGCACAACAACGGGUGGAGCUUGCGGUUUAAUUGGAUUCAACGCCGGAAAUCUUACCGGGACCGACAGCAACAUGAAGGCCAAGCUGAAGACUUUGCCGGAUUAGCUG